UACGAAGGGGCUAGCGUUGCUCGGAAUUACUGGGCGUAAAGGGCGCGUAGGCGGCCACUUUAGUCAGGCGUGAAAUUCCCGGGCUUAACCUGGGGACUGCGCUUGAUACUGGGUGGCUUGAGGGUGGAAGAGGGUCGUGGAAUUCCCAGUGUAGAGGUGAAAUUCGUAGAUAUUGGGAAGAACACCGAUGGCGAAGGCAGCCCCUGGGCCAAUACUGACGCUCAUGCACGAAAGGCGUGGG
rnacentral:rRNA from 1 species